rnacentral:rRNA from 1 species
UGUACGACUCUCGGCAACGGAUAUCUCGGCUCUCGCAUCGAUGAAGAACGUAGCGAAAUGCGAUACCUGGUGUGAAUUGUUGAAUCCCCUGAACCAUCGAGUCUUUGAACGCAAGUUGCGCCCGAGGCCAUCCGGCUAAUGGCGCGCCUGCCUGGGCGUCACGC